UAGCAAGUAAAAUCGAUCGAUCACUGUUCGUCUUGCUUCGUUAACGGGAAUAAGUCUCUAAACCAGCGGGGCCUGUGGAAGCGCAGACCCAACACACACCUUUCUCUUCCACAGAGCUGAGCUCUCAGAAAUAAGCUACAUCCUUUCAUGCAAUGGAGGAAAUUAAUGUCGACUCUGCAAACAAGACGUCUAUUAAAAACACACAGGUCCAAGGAGAUGCAAGAGAAGCAUUUAUUUAGUUGUUAUUCUCUCGUUGGGGCUGCUGGCUGGACUUCUCACUCUUGCUUUCUACUGGAGUAACAAACUUUCUUCUAUGACUGAGGAGAGAGACCUGCUGAAGGCCAACCUCACUGAGAUGACCAACGAGCUGGAGAGGCUGCAGAGUUUGUUCAACCAGAAGACAACAUGUCCUGCAGGAUGGAGAAAGUUCAGUUGUAGCUGUUAUCUCCUGUCUGAAAGAUCUGGUUCCUGGCAUUCAGCUAGAAAAAACUGCACAGACCAAGGAGCAGAUUUGGUGGUCAUAGAUAGCCCUAAAGAACAGAACUUCAUCGUUUCAAUUACCCAGUAUAACACUUGGAUUGGUUUAAGUGACAUAGAACAAGAGGAACGUG